UACGUAGGGAGCAAGCGUUGUCCGGAAUCAUUGGGCGUAAAGCGCGCGUAGGCGGCCCCGUAAGUCCGCUGUGAAAGUCAAAGGCUCAACCUUUGAAAGCCGGUGGAUACUGUGGGGCUAGAGUCCGGAAGAGGCGAGUGGAAUUCCUGGUGUAGCGGUGGAAUGCGCAGAUAUCAGGAGGAACACCGGUGGCGAAGGCGGGAUCCUGGGCCAGUACUGACGCUGAGGAGCGAAAGCGUGGGGAGCAAACAGG
rnacentral:rRNA from 1 species